rnacentral:lncRNA from 1 species
CAGGCGACCACACCGACCCCCAGUCACUGGGGCAAACUAGUAUACCGCAUGAGACUCUCUGGCGCCGACAGUGACCCGACUGGGGCACGGAGCCCAUUGGGGCUUGAGCCGGGAUGAGACGGCCGCUCUCCCGGGUCUCCAGCCGGCGUCACGCUUCCCCCCCCCUCUGGACCGGGGGGGUCAUCCCGGUCUGCAAGGGCACUAGCCAGCACAUCAACCCGGACCUAAACAGCCGCUGGUGAGGAUUAGCCGCUGGGCGAAGGCCCACAAGAUGGCCGCCGCGCGCCGACCAUGUGCGUGAGCUGCCUGUGAGAUCGAGCGGAUGCUUACCUAAAAGUGAGGAAGCCAACGGAGCAAAUGAAUGAGCACACACUGCUACCCUGCCGGGUCCUUACAAAAAAAAAGCAAAGUUUAUGGACACUGCAAAUAAGACCUCACCGCACUCUAAUGGAAG